GUCGGGAGGGCGACGAAUACAAGACCCGAAAGGGAAAUAAGUCCGCGGUUUCGUGAAGCCGUUUCUAGCCUCCUGACACCAUCUA
rnacentral:ncRNA from 1 species